CCGCCGCCCCCACCACCGCCCCGAGCCCUCUCCAACGCGGCCGCCGCUCGCCAGGGGUGGGAUCAAGUUCAAUGUGUACUCAUGAAUCUGAAUCAAUUCGAUAAGUAUAGUGGCCGAAAAAAAGUAUUCGUACACCGUGAAGCGUUCGACUUCCGUUGCUAUUCAGCUUACGUAUAUAUGUGAUGGUAAAUUAAUCGCUUCUUGCCUCGGAACGUGGGAACUUGAUGCAGCCUAUGCGGGACGACGCGUUUAACUAUGAAAAUACUAAUUCCGAAAGUUUCUCUCUCCUGCUGGACUACGACUACCAACCGAACAGGCCAGACCAGGCCAGGCCAAACCAAGCCAAGCCAGGCCAGGCCAGGCCGUCUAUCCACCGUGAAUCGCGCGCUCUACUUCGCGGAAUCGAGCGCGGCGUGCAGGAAUGCUGCAGGUGUUGCACCGGUUCCACUCUCCCGGAAAAAUCACGAUUCUUGGGAUUUUUGAAUCCGCGGACACGAACGGACGAUUCUCUCCUUUUCCUUCUCCUUGUGAUUUUUGGAAGGAUUUUUUGGAAGGAUUCGUUUAAUUGGAACUGGAGAACGAAAAAUUUUGCUCUUCGAACUGGACUUGAUUGGAACUUUCUUCCGCGCGAGGAAAAUAUGAUAAAACGAAGAGGGUGAGAUUUACGAUCCACAGGUUGGGAACCGUUAGAUACGAGUGAAUAAACCGUGCAAAUAAUUAUUCAUCUCUGUGCAAACGAGAGAUAUACGAUGGAAAUGAAGUAGGAAUGAAAGGAUAUCAUUAUAAAAAGAUAUACUUUCCGUAUAUAAAUAUGAUGUGUAUGAGGAAUAAAAAGAGAUUGAUACGUUCACGGUGGAUAAAGCGUGCCGAAUAAAAAAGAUUUGUAAUUAAAAACGAUAUCUCUUUCUCAAGAGCACGCGUGCUAUUGUACAAAAAGUAAAUCGUAUAAUUACAAAAGCUAUAAUACUUGCUAAUACGAUUACAUAUAACAAUCUCACAAUCUGCUUCGAAUCUACACUUAUAAAUUUCUUAGUUGCGAUAUUAAUAAAGAGAAAAAAACCGAAGAAAAUUCAAAACAAUCGAAUAAUCAAUUAUUAUCGAUCGAAUAACCGAUUGGCACACGAUCGAGAGGCACGAGAAGAAGAGGAGGAGGAGGAGGAAGAGGAGGAGAAGGUGGUGGAGGAGGCGUGAGUCAGAUUGGUUCGCGUGACGAAGAUUUUCCAACGCGGUGGCGUGAGUGAAACAUCAACAAUUAUUGCUGCACCUCCGCCUCCGCACGCCGCGCCGACGAGCCUCGAGAAGGAACGAAAGUUUUCAACCGUGUGGCCGCACAGCCCACAUCGCGAAUUCCACUCCGGCCUCGUGAUUUACACAGCCGCGUUUGUCAAUAGCAUUUUCCAUUAGCAAUUCAUGCGGCAUCGGACGCGUUUAUCGGCUUCAUAAACUAUGACGGAAAACACAUAUAUCAUCCCAUCGUUGAUUUCGUAAUGGCCGGCCGAGCGUCGCCGGCAUUACGAACGUCUGCCGCUUUAAACGUUUUGUAAGUAUCGAGGGGGCCCCCUGCAUCCCGAUAGUUUCGAUGCAACUCGCUUGAUAACGCGAGACGAUCACGUGACACGUGAAAAUAUCAAAUGCUCGCAGCGAAUAUACUUGACACGUUUACGAGUCUCAGAUCGUCGAGUAAAGAUCAGCCGUGUAAUAUUUUCUUUUUUUUUUUUUUCUUUUUUUUUUUUACGUAUCCUGGGAUUAAUAAAUAAUAUCACUACAAGGUACUGUAAGUAGACAAGUUACGAGUUGUUGGUAGACAGUUGCGUAAGAGCGUGAGGUUUGGUAAUAAAAGGAAUUAAGUUUCA